rnacentral:lncRNA from 11 species
GAACCACUGGCUUAGGGAGAUAUGUAGUAAGUAUUUUUGAAAGCCAUGAGCAGCAACUAAAUGCUGCCGCCCCACCCACCAUCUCAUUCAUCAAUUACAAUAUAAUCUUCCACCAGGUGAACUUAAGGCAACCCAGACUAGGAUUUUGUUUUUGCUUUGUUUGGCGAGCUGCAUUCAGUUCUAAUACACAAAAGAGGUUCCUGGGUUCAGAAUUCUUUAAUGCUAAAUGGAUACCAGGUUGCAUCAUGGACUUCUAGUCUAAAGCCAAGCAUUUUCCCCAGACCUGAAGUCUGCCCACCCUUGUUUCGGCCAACAUCCUGCAUCUUAAAGUCUGCUCUCAGGAAAUACAUGCCAGUGCAUGUUUACCUUUCAGGUCUCAGAAACCUGUGAUUGAACUAUUUGGAGAAGAGCCAGUGGAAUCUACUGACCAGAGUACGGCACUCAUGACCAGCCGUCAGGUAUACGGUGUCUUAAGGACAAUGAGAAAACCUGGGACAUUCUUUUAGCAAACCAAGAACUAAGUUUUGGUUACAAAAUCUUAUGAAAAGAUCCAAGAUAGUCCUCUUAUAUUGGUAUAACAAGCAAAACAAGAAUCAAGACUUGUGACCAGUAAUUCAUGGCUAGUUUCUUUUUGUUCUCCUAUGCUGCAUCAAUGCAACGAAAGCCAAAUGUCUGUGUAUCUUUAACUCACCAGCCAACUUAUGGCAAACCUAGAGUUUCCAUAGGGUUUUCUUAGGUGCGGAAUACUCAGAGGUAAUUUCCCAAGUCCUUCCUCUGAAAU